rnacentral:rRNA from 1 species
AUUGAACGCUGGCGGCAGGCCUGACACAUGCAAGUCGAGCGGAUGAAAGGAGCUUGCUCCUGGAUUCAGCGGCGGACGGGUGAGUAAUGCCUAGGAAUCUGCCUGGUAGUGGGGGACAACGUUUCGAAAGGAACGCUAAUACCGCAUACGUCCUACGAGAGAAAGCAGGGGACCUUCGGGCCUUGCGCUAUCAGAUGAGCCUAGGUCGGAUUAGCUAGUUGGUGAGGUAAUGGCUCACCAAGGCGACGAUCCGUAACUGGUCUGAGAGGAUGAUCAGUCACACUGGAACUGAGACACGGUCCAGACUCCUACGGGAGGCAGCAGUGGGGAAUAUUGGACAAUGGGCGAAAGCCUGAUCCAGCCAUGCCGCGUGUGUGAAGAAGGUCUUCGGAUUGUAAAGCACUUUAAGUUGGGAGGAAGGGUUGUAGAUUAAUACUCUGCAAUUUUGACGUUACCGACAGAAUAAGCACCGGCUAACUCUGUGCCAGCAGCCGCCGUAAGAC